rnacentral:snoRNA from 1 species
GAGCAAACGCGUCGACGAACAAGAAUGGCGCGCGUUGCCUUGAAGGUUGGCGACAAAAAAAUUGUCCAUGGCGAUUCUCCGUGCCUGUCAAAUCUCUCUCGGUUUUGAUCACGGCCUCGAACAAGUCGCUACAUU